GAUGAACGCUGGCGGCGUGCCUAAUACAUGCAAGUCGAGCGAACAGACGAGGAGCUUGCUCCUCCGACGUUAGCGGCGGACGGGUGAGUAACACGUGGAUAACCUACCUAUAAGACUGGGAUAACUUCGGGAAACCGGAGCUAAUACCGGAUAAUAUAUUGAACCGCAUGGUUCAAUAGUGAAAGACGGUUUUGCUGUCACUCAUAGAUGGAUCCGCGCCGCAUUAGCUAGUUGGUAAGGUAACGGCUUACCAAGGCAACGAUGCGUAGCCGACCUGAGAGGGGGAUCGGCCACACUGGAACUGAGACACGGUCCAGACUCCUACGGGAGGCAGCAGUAGGGAAUCUUCCGCAAUGGGCGAAAGCCUGACGGAGCAACGCCGCGUGAGUGAUGAAGGUCUUCGGAUCGUAAAACUCUGUUAUUAGGGAAGAACAAAUGUGUAAGUAACUAUGCACGUCUUGACGGUACCUAAUCAGAAAGCCACGGCUAACUACGUG
rnacentral:rRNA from 1 species